rnacentral:ncRNA from 1 species
CAAAAGCUUGGUCCUGACUUUGUUGUCAGCUUUGAUUUAAUUUAUACAUGCAAGUAUCUGCACCCCUGUGAGAAUGCCCUACUUACUCCUCUCUGGAGUAAAGGAGCAGGCAUUAGGCACAACCUUAAGUUAGCCCACAACGCCUUGCUCAGCCACACCCCUAAGGGAACUCAGCAGUAGUAGACAUUAAGCAAUAAGUGAAAACUUGACUUAGUUAAAAUCAACAGGGCCGGUAAAACUCGUGCCAGCCACCGCGGUUAUACGAGAGGCCCGAGUUGACAAACCAACGGCAUAAAAAGUGGUUAGUAUAAAUGCCCAACUAAAGCCAAACACCUUCAAAGUUGUCAUAUGCUAUCGAAGGCAGGAGGAACCCCCACGAAAGUGGCUUUAAACCAUACAACCCCACGAAAGCUAGGAAACAAACUGGGAUUAGAUACCCCACUAUGCCUAGCCCUAAACAUAGGUUACAUUUUACACCUUUAUUUGCCAGGGAACUACGAGCCACAGCUUAAAACCCAAAGGACUUGGCGGUGCUUUAGACCCCCCUAGAGGAGCCUGUUCUAGAACCGAUAACCCCCGUUAAACCUCACCCUCCCUUGUACAUUCCGCCUAUAUACCGCCGUCGUCAGCUUACCCUGUGAAGGCAUCAAAGUAAGCAUAAUUGGUACUACCUAAAACGCCAGGUCGAGGUGUAGCCAAUGAGAGGGGAAGAAAUGGGCUACAUUCACUGCCUCAGUGAAUACGGAUGAUGAAUUGAAACAAACAUCUAAAGGAGGAUUUAGCAGUAAGGGAUGAACUAGAGUGUCCCCCUGAAACUGGCCCUGAAGCGCGCACACACCGCCCGUCACUCUCCCCCAACACAUCAAACCCAAAAUAAAUAAACAACCAUAAAAACAAAGGGGAGGCAAGUCGUAACAUGGUAAGUGUACUGGAAAGUGCACUUGGAAAAAC